CCUACGGGUGGCAGCAGUGAGGAAUAUUGGUCAAUGGGCGCGAGCCUGAACCAGCCAAGUCGCGUGAGGGAAGACGGUCCUAUGGAUUGUAAACCUCUUUUGUCGGGGAGCAAAAGACGCCACGCGUGGCGUUCCGAGAGUACCUGAAGAAAAAGCAUCGGCUAACUCCGUGCCAGCAGCCGCGGUAAUACGGAGGAUGCGAGCGUUAUCCGGAUUUAUGGGGUUUAAAGGGUGCGCAGGGGGUAGAUAAAGUCAGCGGUAAAAUUGAGGGGCUAAACCUCUUCGCGCCGUUGAAACUGGUAUUCUAGAGUGAGAGAGAAGUAUGCGGAAUGCGUGGUGGAGCGGUGAAAUGCAUAGAUAUCGUGAAGAACUCCGAGCGCGAAGGCAAGUGUCCGGGGUGCAACUGACGCUGAGGCUCGAAAGUGCGGGUAUCAAACAGGAUUAGAUACCCGAGUAGUC
rnacentral:rRNA from 1 species